rnacentral:rRNA from 1 species
UGGGGAAUUUUCCGCAAUGGGCGAAAGCCUGACGGAGCCAUACCGCGUGAGGGAUGACGGCCUAUGGGUUGUAAACCUCUUUUUUCAAGGAGGAAUUCAUGACGUGUACUUGAAGAAUAAGCAUCGGCUAACUCC